rnacentral:rRNA from 1 species
UACGUAGGGGGCGAGCGUUGUCCGGAAUCAUUGGGCGUAAAGCGCGCGCAGGCGGCCGCGAGAGCCCGGCGUGAAAGCCCCCGGCUCAACCGGGGGAGGCCGUCGGGGACCUCGGGGCUGGAGGCCGGCAGGGGCGGGUGGAAUUCCCGGUGUAGUGGUGGAAUGCGUAGAGAUCGGGAGGAACACCGGUGGCGAAGGCGGCCCGCUGGGCCGGACCUGACGCUGAGGCGCGAAAGCGUGGGGAGCGAUCCGG